rnacentral:rRNA from 1 species
CAGUCGCCGCGGUAAUACGAAGGGGGCUAGCGUUGCUCGGAAUUACUGGGCGUAAAGGGCGCGUAGGCGGACAGUUAAGUUGGGGGUGAAAGCCCGGGGCUCAACCUCGGAAUUGCCUUCAAUACUGGCUGUCUUGAGUAUGAGAGAGGUGUGUGGAACUCCGAGUGUAGAGGUGAAAUUCGUAGAUAUUCGGAAGGUCACCAGUGGCGAAGGCGACACACUGGCUCAUUACUGACGCUGAGGCGCGAAAGCGUGGGGAGCAAACAGGAUUAGAUACCCCAGUAGUCCCUGUCUCUUAUAC